AACGAACGCUGGCGGCAGGCUUAACACAUGCAAGUCGAACGAGAUCUUCGGAUCUAGUGGCAGACGGGUGAGGAACACGUGGGAACAUCCCCUUCAGUUCGGAAUAACGUUGGGAAACUAACGCUAAUACCGGAUACGUCCUUCGGGAGAAAGAUUUAUCGCUGAAAGAUUGGCCCGCGUCUGAUUAGCUAGUUGGUGAGGUAAUGGCUCACCAAGGCUACGAUCAGUAGCUGAUCUGAGAGGAUGAUCAGCCACAUUGGGACUGAGACACGGCCCAGACUCCUACGGGAGGCAGCAGUGGGGAAUAUUGGACAAUGGGCGCAAGCCUGAUCCAGCCAUGCCGCGUGAGUGAUGACGGACUUCGGGUUGUAAAGCUCUUUUGUCCGGGAAGAUAAUGACUGUACCGGAAGAAUAAGCCCCGGCAAACUUCGUGCCAGCCGCCGCGGUAA
rnacentral:rRNA from 1 species